UCCCGCUUUUCCUCCCUGAGCGGGGCCUUUGCGUGUGACAGCAAAAAGGCAUUUAUCCCGGCUGGCCAGCAGGUCGCCGGGAUUUUUUUU
rfam:Polaromonas naphthalenivorans CJ2, complete genome.